UACGGGGGAUGCAAGCGUUAUCCGGAAUCAUUGGGCGUAAAGCGCCUGUAGGUUGUUUAUUAAGUCUGUUGUUAAAGACCGGGGCUUAACCCUGGGAAAGCAAUGGAAACUACUAGACUUGAGUAUGGCAGGGGUAGAGGGAAUUUCUAGUGUAGCGGUGAAAUGCGUAGAUAUUAGAAAGAACACCGGCGGCGAAAGCGCUCUACUGGACCAUUACUGACACUCAGAGGCGAAAGCUAGGGGAGCAAAAGGGAUUAGAUACCCCUGUAGUCCUAGCCGUAAACGAUGGAUACUAGAUGUUGCGCUUAUUGUGCAGUGUCGUAGCUAACGCGUUAAGUAUCCCGCCUGGGGAGUACGAUCGCAAGGUUG
rnacentral:rRNA from 1 species